AACGAACGCUGGCGGCAUGCCUAACACAUGCAAGUCGAACGAGAACUUCGGGUCUAGUGGCGCACGGGUGCGUAACGCGUGGGAACCUGCCCUUAGGUUCGGAAUCACUCACCGAGAGGGGAGCUAAUAACGGAGAAUGUAUUCGGACCAAGGAUUUAUCGCUUUUGGAUGGGGUCGAGUCGGAUUAGCUUGUUGGUGGGGUAAAGGCUUACCAAGGCGACGAUGGGUAGCUGGUCUGGGAGGAUGGUCAGCACCACUGGGACUGCACUACGGCCCAGCCUCCUCCGGGAGGCAGCGCUGCAGAAUGUUGCACUAUGCGCGGAGGCCUGAUGCAGCCACGCCGCGUGCGGGAUGACGGCCUUCGGUUUGUAAUCCGCUUUCCCCUGUGACGAAGUGUGAGUGACGGUAAUGGGUAAAGAAGCACCGGCUAACUCCGUG
rnacentral:rRNA from 1 species